rnacentral:rRNA from 1 species
CAAGUCGAACGAGAAAGCGGGGGCAACCUCGCAAGUACAGUGGCGUACGGGUGAGUAACACGUGGGUAAUCUGCCCUUUAGUGGGGAAUAACGCUGGGAAACCGGCGCUAAUACCGCAUAAGCCUGAGAAGGGAAAGCAGCAAUGCGCUGAAGGAGGAGCCCGCGGCCGAUUAGCUAGUUGGGAGGGUAAAAGCCUACCAAGGCAAAGAUCGGUAGCCGGCCUGAGAGGGCACACGGCCACACUGGCACUGAAACACGGGCCAGACUCCUACGGGAGGCAGCAGUGGGGAAUCUUGCACAAUGGGGGCAACCCUGAUGCAGCGACGCCGCGUGAGCGAUGAAGCCCUUCGGGGUGUAAAGCUCUUUCGGCAGGGACGAUAAUGACGGUACCUGCAGAAGCAGCUGCGGCUAACUACGUGCCAGCAGCCGCGGUAAUACGUAGGCAGCGAGCGUUGUUCGGAGUUACUGGGCGUAAAGGGUGUGUAGGCGGUUCUUUAAGUUUGGUGUGAAAUCUCCCGGCUCAACCGGGAGGGUGCGCCGAAAACUGGGGGACUCGAGUGCGGGAUGGGAGAGUAGAAUUCCUGGUGUAGCGGUGAAAUGCGUAGAUAUCAGGAGGAAUACCGGUGGUGUAGACGGCUCUCUGGACCGCCACUGACGCUGAGACACGAAAGCGUGGGUAGCAAACAGGAUUAGAUACCCUGGUAGUCCACGCCCUAAACGAUGCAUAUUUGGUGUAGGUCAUUCAGUUGAUCUGUGCCGGAGCUAACGCGUUAAAUAUGCCGCCUGGGGAGUACAGUCGCAAGGCUGAAACUCAAAGGAAUUGACGGGGGCCCGCACAA